UUGACCUCAAAUCAGGUAGGACUACCCGCUGAACUUAAGCAUAUCAAUAAGCGGAGGAAAAGAAACUAACAAGGAUUCCCCUAGUAACUGCGAGUGAAGCGGGAAAAGCUCAAAUUUGAAAUCUGGYGGUCUCUUGACCGUCCGAGUUGUAAUCUAGAGAAGUGUUACCUGUGCUGGACCGUGUACAAGUCUCCUGGAAUGGAGCAUCAUAGAGGGUGAGAAUCCCGUCUUUGACACGGACUACCUGUACGUUGUGGUGCGCUCUCGAAGAGUCGAGUUGUUUGGGAAUGCAGCUCAAAACGGGUGGUAAAUGCCAUCUAAAGCUAAAUAUUGGCGAGAGACCGAUAGCGAACAAGUACCGUGAGGGAAAGAUGAAAAGAACUUUGGAAAGAGAGUCAAACAGUACGUGAAAUUGCUGAAAGGGAAACGCUUGAAGUCAGUCGCGUUGGCUAGGAAUCAGUCUUGCUCUUGCUUGAUGUACUUUCUUGUCGACGGGUCAGCAUCAAUUUUGACCAUUGGAAAAAGGCUUUGGGAAUGUGGCAUCUUUUUUAGAUGUGUUAUAGCCCACUGUCGUAUACGGUGGUUGGGAUUGAGGGACUCAGCACGCCGCAAGGCCGGGUCAUUUUCGACCACGUUCGUGCUUAGGAUGCUGGCAUAAUGGCUUUAAUCGACCCGUC
rnacentral:rRNA from 1 species